rnacentral:rRNA from 1 species
GUGCCAGCAGCCGCGGUAAUACGUAGGUGGCAAGCGUUAUCCGGAAUUAUUGGGCGUAAAGCGCGCGUAAGCGGUUUUUUAAGUCUGAUGUGAAAGCCCACGGCUCAACCGUGGAGGGUCAUUGGAAACUGGAAAACUUGAGUGCAGAAGAGGAAAGUGGAAUUCCAUGUGUAGCGGUGAAAUGCGCAGAGAUAUGGAGGAACACCAGUGGCGAAGGCGACUUUCUGGUCUGUAGCUGACGCUGAUGUGCGAAAGCG